UACGUAGGGGGCAAGCGUUGUCCGGAAUUAUUGGGCGUAAAGAGCGUGUAGGCGGCCAGAUAAGUCCGCUGUGAAAUCUCGAGGCUCAACUUCGAGCUGUCGGUGGAAACUAUCUGGCUAGAGUCCGGAAGAGAAGAAUGGAAUUCCUGGUGUAGCGGUGAAAUGCGCAGAUAUCAGGAAGAACACCCGUGGCGAAGGCGGUUCUCUGGGACGGUACUGACGCUGAGACGCGAAAGCGUGGGGAGCGAACAGG
rnacentral:rRNA from 1 species